CAGUGAUCAAAUUCAGGUCCUCAGGCUUGAUGGAAGAUAGACUUGCCUGCUGAGCCAUCUGGGCAGCCCACUUGUCCUGUUUCACAGCUCAUAACAAAAUGCAGUUGCUCAUUAAAGCAAUUAGUUUCUGCAGCAAGUCUACUUGGUCCUGAGUGUGGCUUCCUAUCUUUGGCAGUUGGCAGUGGAAUACAGACGGGGUGGAGUCCUGUAGGGAAGUUCUUUGGAGCACCCAGCUUUGUAAUAGUGUUUAGUCUCUGUUUUGAGUCUCAGGUUCCCAAAGGCUAACAGGAUUUCUGAUCAUUUAGGGGGCGUGUUUGGAUUGUUAACUCUGUCAGAGUAGAAAAAUUCAACAGUGAUGCCACCGGCUAGUCACUCUUCAAAGUUUCCUUAUUUGCCAGGAUGUGAGAAGGCUCAUCCCUAAGCUCCUGCCACCUCACCUGAUCUCCAUAACCAACUGGAGUCCCUGAGGCUUGAGACCAGACGCAUUCUUCCUCCCUUAAGCUGCAUCAGGCCUAGCAGUGAGAAGAGCUGCCCAAUGGUUGGCCUCCAUCAAGAGACUGGGCAGCUAGAGGAGCUGGUGUUAAGUGCAGACGGUUCCACAUUGGUGGUUAUGUGUUUCACUUUUUACGUAAUGGCACACCAAGGAAUGCAACUAUAAUAUAAAGAAAGCUACACGUCAGUCUGCCAUAGAAGCACAUUGGGAAUGUCUCCUGUGAAAGAGCAAAGCGGGCCAGGAAUUGUUUUUUUCCAAAGAAUGAAGUGAAGCUCAACUCUCAAGAAAUAGAUCUGACAGCUCUGCAGUUUGUGUCCCUAGGUAAACUAUUUCUGUUGAUGGCUGCUCCAUUCCUUCAGACCCAGAGGACACUGACACGGGACUGAUAGGACAGUGUGUUUAUUGUGAUGAUGUCCUAUUCACCGACCCUAAGAGGGAACUCUGCAUAAAAACAACACCUACUAACUAUCUUGUUCAUGCUAGAGACUAAUUAUUUCCCUGCCAGGAGUUCUGUGUGCUGGGAAGUCAGAGACCAUGGAGGAGA
rnacentral:lncRNA from 1 species